rnacentral:rRNA from 1 species
GACGAACGCUGGCGGCGUGCUUAACACAUGCAAGUCGAACGGAAAGGCCCUGCUUUUGUGGGGUGCUCGAGUGGCGAACGGGUGAGUAACACGUGAGUAACCUGCCCUUGACUUUGGGAUAACUUCAGGAAACUGGGGCUAAUACCGGAUAUGAGCUCCUGCUGCAUGGUGGGGGUUGGAAAGUUUCGGCGGUUGGGGAUGGACUCGCGGCUUAUCAGCUUGUUGGUGGGGUAGUUGCUUACCAAGGCUUUGACGGGUAGCCGGCCUGAGAGGGUGACCGGCCACAUUGGGACUGAGAUACGGCCCAGACUCCUACGGGAGGCAGCAGUGGGGAAUAUUGCACAAUGGGCGGAAGCCUGAUGCAGCAACGCCGCGUGCGGGAUGACGGCCUUCGGGUUGUAAACCGCUUUCGCCUGUGACGAAGCGUGAGUGACGGUAAUGGGUAAAGAAGCACCGGCUAACUACGUG